rnacentral:rRNA from 1 species
UACGUAGGGGGCAAGCGUUGUCCGGAAUUAUUGGGCGUAAAGAGCGCGUAGGCGGUCCGAUAAGUCGGCUGUGAAAGUCCAGGCUCAACCCUGGAAAGCCGGCCGAUACUGUCGGACUAGAGUCCGGAAGAGGCAAGUGGAAUUCCCGGUGUAGCGGUGAAAUGCGCAGAUAUCGGGAGGAACACCAAUGGCGAAGGCAGCUUGCUGGGACGGUACUGACGCUGAGGCGCGAAAGCGUGGGGAGCAAACAGG